rnacentral:lncRNA from 1 species
CGGAGUCCAAGAACUGCUGAUUUCCAACAUCAGUGUAGCUUCUAAGUUCACCAUCAUUUACUGUAAACCCGUUUUUCCAAAGUUUAAUGAUCACAUCAACCUGGUUCUUGACUGUAGUUGGAGACAUGCAUAUCGCACCGAUCUUCUGAGCUUCUUCAAAAAGGUUAUCGACAAAAUAGUCAUGGUUUUGUUCUGUACCAUUCAAAAUCUGGUCACCAGUUCUUGACUUACACAUCCAUUCUUCCUUCACAGUUUUGAUAUUGUCCAUGUUUUCAUCCUGAGGCUCCUCCCGGCCCCGCAGCGCAGCACCGCCCGCGGCCUCCGCAGCGCACCAAGUCCUCAC